CUCAAAUUUGAAAUCUGGCCUUCGGGUCCGAGUUGUAAUUUGUAGAGGAUGCUUUUGGUGCAGUGCCUUCCGAGUUCCUUGGAACAGGACGCCUUAGAGGGUGAGAGCCCCGUACGGUUGGACACUAAGCCUCUGUAAAGCUCCUUCGACGAGUCGAGUAGUUUGGGAAUGCUGCUCUAAAUGGGAGGUAAAUUUCUUCUAAAGCUAAAUACCGGCCAGAGACCGAUAGCGCACAAGUAGAGUGAUCGAAAGAUGAAAAGUACUUUGAAAAGAGGGUUAAAUAGCACGUGAAAUUGUUGAAAGGGAAGCGUUUAUGACCAGACCUUUGCCUAGCGGAUCAUCCGGUGUUCUUCACCGGUGCACUUCGCUAGGCUCAGGCCAGCAUCGGUUUCUGCAGCGGGAUAAAGACCGUGGGAACGUAGCUCUCUCCGGGGAGUGUUAUAGCCCUAGGUGUAAUACCGUUGCGGGGACCGAGGUUCGCGCUUCUGCAAGGAUGCUGGCGUAAUGGUCAUCAACGACCCGUCUUGAAACACGGACCAAGGAGUCGAACAUUUAUGCGAGUGUUUGGGUGUUAAACCCUCACGCGUAAUGAAAGUGAACGGAGGUGAGAGCCCGUACGGGUGCAUCAUCGACCGAUCCUGAUGUCUUCGGAUGGAUUUGAGUAAGAGCAUAACUGUUCGGACCCGAAAGAUGGUGAACUAUGCGUGGAUAGGGUGAAGCCAGAGGAAACUCUGGUGGAGGCUCGCAGCGGUUCUGACGUGCA
rnacentral:rRNA from 1 species